AGUCCAUGGUGUGGACAUUUCUGUAACAAAUCUCUAAACCUUUCCAAUGCUUCAUACAAUGAUUCCCUCUUUUGUUGACUAAAACCAGUAAUAUCCAUUCUAAACUU